rnacentral:lncRNA from 1 species
CUUCUUUCCUUGAUAUGAUGUUCAAACCAGGAAAAUGUGCAAAUAUCAAGGUUACCUGGGUCUGCUGGUCACUUCUAGUUUUUGGACUCUUGAAGAUG